rnacentral:rRNA from 1 species
GGCUGAUACCGCCCAAGAGUUCAUAUCGACGGCGGUGUUUGGCACCUCGAUGUCGGCUCAUCACAUCCUGGGGCUGAAGUAGGUCCCAAGGGUAUGGCUGUUCGCCAUUUAAAGUGGUACGCGAGCUGGGUUUAGAACGUCGUGAGACAGUUCGGUCCCUAUCUGCCGUGGGCGCUGGAGAAUUGAGGGGGGCUGCUCCUAGUACGAGAGGACCGGAGUGGACGCAUCACUGGUGUUCGGGUUGUCAUGCCAAUGGCACUGCCCGGUAGCUAAAUGCGGAAGAGAUAAGUGCUGAAAGCAUCUAAGCACGAAACUUGCCCCGAGAUGAGUUCUCCCUGAGACU